rnacentral:lncRNA from 1 species
CCUCCACUCACUCCUCCUCCGCCUCCAGCGCCACCUCGUAUCUCCUCAUUCCCGACAUGUCCUGGGCUCCGAACGUCUCCUGGGGAGCGGCAUGAUUGAAUCAGGGAUUCCCUAGCCCCAGGUCCCCUUCUCCGUCAUUCUCAGGACGAGGCUGCCCAGUUCUCAGACCCCUGAGACCUGCACAUUGAUCCCUGCCAUGCCCCUCCGUACCGUUUAACCCCUGCCCCAUUUUACUCACUCAUGGCAAGAAAACCAAUAUGCUGAGAAGAGGAGUGUUGCCACACACACAAGAG